rnacentral:tRNA from 1 species
GGACCCGUAGCGCAGCUUGGAUAGCGCAAACACGUAAAACUGGCGUAACAGCCUUCUAAGCUGUGGGUCGUGGGUUCAAAUCCCACCGGGUCCG